rnacentral:rRNA from 1 species
AGGCAGCAGCAGGGAAUAUUGCACAAUGGGCGAAAGCCUGAUGCAGCGACACCGCGUGCGGGAUGAAGGCCUUCGGGUUGUAAACCGCUUUCAGGAGGGACGAAAAUGACGGUACCUCCAGAAGAAGGCCCGGCCAACUACGUGCCAGCAGCCGCGGUAAUACGUAGGGGCCAAACGUUGUCCGGAUUUAUUGGGCGUAAAGGGCUCGGAGGCGGUUCAAAAAGUCGGUCGUGAAAGCCCGGGGCUCAACCCUGUGACGCCUGUCGAAACUGUUGUGACUAGGGUCCGGUAGAGGUGAGUGGAACUCUCGCUGUAGCGGUGGUAUGAUUAGAUAUUCAAAGGAACACCGUUUUCCUAAGGUUGUUUUUUUCGGCGGGA